rnacentral:misc_RNA from 1 species
UUAGCUGGUUCGUAAUACAUUAGCAUACUAAACCCGAAUUGUUCGGAUUGACUUGGCGUAAUAGACUUUAUUCGCUGAGGACACCUUCAUUGGUGGCCGAACUUUUCAAUUUGUUAGUGGCUUCUAAUACCCUAUUGAAUUUUAAAGUCAAUACUCUUAGAUUAGACCUCAGAUCAGGCAGGACUACCCGCUGAACUUAA